GAACGCUAGCUACAGGCUUAACACAUGCAAGUCGAGGGGCAGCAUGGUCUUAGCUUGCUAAGGCCGAUGGCGACCGGCGCACGGGUGAGUAACACGUAUUCAACCUGCCGUCUACUCUUGGACAGCCUUCUGAAAGGAAGAUUAAUACAAGAUGGCAUCAUGAGUCCGCAUGUUCACAUGAUUAAAGGUAUUCCGGUAGACGAUGGGGAUGCGUUCCAUUAGAUAGUAGGCGGGGUAACGGCCCACCUAGUCUUCGAUGGAUAGGGGUUCUGAGAGGAAGGUCCCCCACAUUGGAACUGAGACACGGUCCAAACUCCUACGGGAGGCAGCAGUGAGGAAUAUUGGUCAAUGGGCGAGAGCCUGAACCAGCCAAGUAGCGUGAAGGAUGACUGCCCUAUGGGUUGUAAACUUCUUUUAUAAAGGAAUAAAGUCGGGUAUGCAUACCCGUUUGCAUGUACUUUAUGAAUAAGGAUCGGCUAACUCCGUGCCAGCAGCCGCGGUAAUACGGAGGAUCCGAGCGUUAUCCGGAUUUAUUGGGUUUAAAGGGAGCGUAGAUGGAUGUUUAAGUCAGUUGUGAAAGUUUGCGGCUCAACCGUAAAAUUGCAGUUGAUACUGGAUAUCUUGAGUGCAGUUGAGGCAGGCGGAAUUCGUGGUGUAGCGGUGAAAUGCUUAGAUAUCACGAAGAACUCCGAUUGCGAAGGCAGCCUGCUAAGCUGCAACUGACAUUGAGGCUCGAAAGUGUGGGUAUCAAACAGGAUUAGAUACCCUGGUAGUCCACACGGUAAACGAUGAAUACUCGCUGUUUGCGAUAUACAGCAAGCGGCCAAGCGAAAGCGUUAAGUAUUCCACCUGGGGAGUACGCCGGCAACGGUGAAACUCAAAGGAAUUGACGGGGGCCCGCACAAGCGGAGGAACAUGUGGUUUAAUUCGAUGAUACGCGAGGAACCUUACCCGGGCUUAAAUUGCAGAUGAAUUACGGUGAAAGCCGUAAGCCGCAAGGCAUCUGUGAAGGUGCUGCAUGGUUGUCGUCAGCUCGUGCCGUGAGGUGUCGGCUUAAGUGCCAUAACGAGCGCAACCCUUGUUGUCAGUUACUAACAGGUUCCGCUGAGGACUCUGACAAGACUGCCAUCGUAAGAUGUGAGGAAGGUGGGGAUGACGUCAAAUCAGCACGGCCCUUACGUCCGGGGCUACACACGUGUUACAAUGGGGGGUACAGAGGGCCGCUACCACGCGAGUGGAUGCCAAUCCCAAAAACCUCUCUCAGUUCGGACUGGAGUCUGCAACCCGACUCCACGAAGCUGGAUUCGCUAGUAAUCGCGCAUCAGCCACGGCGCGGUGAAUACGUUCCCGGGCCUUGUACACACCGCCCGUCAAGCCAUGGGAGCCGGGGGUACCUGAAGUGCGUAACCGCGAGGAGCGCCCUAGGGUAAAACUGGU
rnacentral:rRNA from 1 species